UACGUAGGGUGCAAGCGUUAAUCGGAAUUACUGGGCGUAAAGCGUGCGCAGGCGGUUUUGUAAGUCAGAUGUGAAAUCCCCGGGCUAAACCUGGGAACUGCGUUUGAAACUACAAGGCUAGAGUGUGGCAGAGGGGGGUGGAAUUCCACGUGUAGCAGUGAAAUGCGUAGAGAUGUGGAGGAACACCGAUGGCGAAGGCAGCCCCCUGGGUUAACACUGACGCUCAGGCACGAAAGCGUGGGGAGCAAACAGG
rnacentral:rRNA from 1 species